rnacentral:rRNA from 1 species
CUAGCAUAUCAAUAAGCGGAGGAAAAGAAACCAACAGGGAUUGCCUCAGUAACGGCGAGUGAAGCGGCAACAGCUCAAAUUUGAAAUCUGGAGCCUUCGGCUUCCGAGUUGUAAUUUGAAGAGGAUGUUUCGGUGCGACCUGGGCCUAAGUUCCUUGGAACAGGACGUCAUGGAGGGUGAGAAUCCCGUACAUGGCUGCAGGUUUGCUUCUAUGUGAAACUCCUUCGAAGAGUCGAGUUGUUUGGGAAUGCAGCUCAAAAUGGGUGGUAAAUUUCAUCUAAAGCUAAAUAUUGGCGGGAGACCGAUAGCGCACAAGUAGAGUGAUCGAAAGAUGAAAAGCACUUUGAAAAGAGAGUUAAACAGUACGUGAAAUUGUUGAAAGGGAAGCGCUUGCAAUCAGACUCGCCUUCAGUUGAUCAACCUUCCUUCUGGUUGGUGCACUCUGCUGUUGGCGGGCCAGCAUCAGUUGGGGCGGCGGGACAAAGGCAGUGGGAAUGUGGCUCGCUUCGGCGAGUGUUAUAGCCCAUUGUGUCAUGCCGCCAGCCCCGACUGAGGUCCGCGGUUCGCCUAGGAUGCUGGCUUAAUGGUUGUAAGCGACCCGUCUUGAAACACGGACCAAGGAGUCUAACAUCUAUGCGAGUCUUUGGGUGUAAAACCCAUGGGCGAAAUGAAAGUGAACGGAGGUGGGAGUCUUCGGAUGCACCAUCGACCGAUCCUGAUGUUCUCGGAUGGAUUUGAGUAUGAGCAUAGCUGUUGGGACCCGAAAGAUGGUGAACUAUGCCUGAAUAGGGUGAAGCCAGAGGAAACUCUGGUGGAGGCUCGCAGCGGUUCUGACGUGCAAAUCGAUCGUCAAAUUUGGGUAUAGGGGCGAAAGACUAAUCGAACCAUC